AAAGGGAGACCUAAUUCAGGUAGGAGACGAAAAAAAGUAGUCCCUACCAGGAAUCAAUCCCAAAAGGUCGGAGCGAGGCGAAAUUGGCUUUCAAACUAGGUUCUGGGUUCAAACAAGACCUGAAUCAGGAACAAGGGCUAUUAGCUCAGGUGGUUAGAGCGCACCCCUGAUAAGGGUGAGGUCCCUGGUUCGAGUCCAGGAUGGCCCACCUGCACAGGUGGCAAAAACAAGAGAAGCGAGGAAUCAGCACCUUAUCUUACUUAUAUAGUAAGAGAGAAUGCUGGCUCUGAGUAAAGAGUCCAGAGGAACCUUGAAAACUGCAUAGAGCUAGGUGAAAAAGCCAAAAAAGAAGACCGCAAG
rnacentral:tRNA from 1 species